CCUACGGGGGGCAGCAGUGGGGAAUAUUGGACAAUGGGGGCAACCCUGAUCCAGCCAUGCCGCGUGUGUGAAGAAGGCCCUCGGGUUGUAAAGCACUAUCAGUGAGGAAGAACGCCUGGUGGUUAAGCCCCAUCAGGAAAGACAUCACCCACAGAAGAAGCACCGGCUAACUCCGUGCCAGCAGCCGCGGUAAUACGGAGGGUGCGAGCGUUAAUCGGAAUUACUGGGCGUAAAGGGCGCGUAGGUGGCUUGAUAAGCCGGUUGUGAAAGCCCCGGGCUCAACCUGGGAACGGCAUCCGGAACUGUCAAGCUAGAGUGCAGGAGAGGAAGGUAGAAUUCCCGGUGUAGCGGUGAAAUGCGUAGAGAUCGGGAGGAAUACCAGUGGCGAAGGCGGCCUUCUGGACUGACACUGACACUGAGGUGCGAAAGCGUGGGUAGCAAACAGGAUUAGAUACCCGUGUAGUC
rnacentral:rRNA from 1 species